GUUGCAUCAGCAGCAUUUAUUGAGUGAACAGAGGUGAGUUCAACAUUCAGUAUUAAUCGUGCACAAUCUAGAGCAAAAGAUUGGUCUGGACCCCUUGCUCCAUACACAGUGGCCAAAGCCAUCUUCCAAGGGGAGCAUAUUAAAAUUCCCCCCAAACCCAGGCUUGCUGUGUCCUGAGAGGUCUUGAAAUCCAGUGACCUCUCUGAAGCCUAGCAGUUGGCCAAGCAGGAGCUGGGGCUUGGGUUCAAGCUAAGAGCUAACCCAGCUCUAAGCAGACUCUGCCAUGGUUCAAGGUUUUCUAGCCUUUGUAAAACAUCUCACAUGCGCGUCAGACCACAUGUGGGGGAAAGCUCUGCCUCCGCAGGUGACUUAACUGCUGUUCAGAUGUGAGCAAUUAGGUCCUCGGAGAAAGCUGUAAAUGCAAGACCUCAGGCUUCUGCUGAGAAGGGAACUGAGGAGUGCUGAGUAGCUUCUACACGCCAGCAUAGAGCUGGGUGACCCACACACUGUCACUAAUGAUUAGAAAAGACGAAUAUUGGAAUCGACAAAACAAAAUGAAGGUAAAGUGCGUGGAGGAACCAAAGGAGAUAUUUUUCUGAUGAGGCUUUGAGAGAAAGAUAAACUGAAGUAAAGACAGGCCGACAGGGGCCUGUGGCACUACACUCUUGUCUGUCUUGGAGAAGGUGCUGGAUGAGCACAUUAAGAGGUUCUGCCACAUCCUGGCAUGGCAUUUACCUGAGCAGCAGGAAGUCAUCUGUCCCGUGUACUGAGGAAAAGGAUGGAGAAAUAGCCCACAGGCACGUUUCUCCUUAACAGCCCUGACCUCCGUGGGUUUAUAAAAAUGCCCAAAGCUUCUCCUAAGCCAGGUAUCCAGACUGUUCUGCUGAGGAGUCAUUACUCACAAGUGAGGCAGGACUCUGGCUGGGGAAUUAACUCAUAUUUUACCUCAAUGAGCCUCUCACUUUGUAGGAGAGGAAACCAAGGUUUCUAAAUGUAAACUGUCCAUGUCACAGACAGCUGUGGAAAUUAGAUCUGGCUGGCCCCAAAGCCCUGAAAUAGUGCCUCCCAGGUCCGAAUAGAAACAGAGCAUUCAAGCCAGGGAUGCAACAGCAUCCAAAUACUGUGACUGAGUCAAAGAUUCUCAUUUGUGCUAUGAAUUAAUUUCAAAUCCUAUCUUAAAAGAGGAAAAGAUAUUGCAAAAGUCCCUUAAAUUCAACAUGUCCAAGAACAACUCAUGACUUCCCACUCCCAACAAAGUCUGUUUCUACCCGUGUUUCCUCUCUCAGUGAGUGGUACCGACACCCGUCUAGUUCUGCCAGCCAAGGAUGUGGAAGUCAUUCUGGACCUUUCCACGACCCCCACAGACACACACACGUACACACCAUACCCAGUCCAUCACCAAAUCCUGCCGAUUCUACCUUCUAAAUAUCUAUCAGAACUAUCCACUUCUCUCCAUACUGGCUGCUCCCUCUACAGUCCAGGAUAUCACCUCCCCUGGACAUCUGCAGCCUCUCAGCAUCUCACCCCUACACCAACCAUAGCCUCACCCAGCUCCUUCCAUUUCGUGUAUUGCAGCCAGAAGGUUCUUUUUGGAAUGUAACCUGACCACAUCCACACUUGGCUGCCCUUUCCCCAGUUCUUAAAACAUCCCAAUGGCUUCCCAUUGUUGAUAAGACAGAGAACAAAGUCUUCAGGAUGGCCCUGCAUGGAGUGACUGCCUGCUUAUCUCUGCAGACUCAAGUCGAAUUAUUCUCCUUCCCUGUGUGUUCCAACCACUUGCAGUCUUAUUUGCAAAUGGUCAAACAUCCCAGGCUUCUUCCCUUCAUAGACCUUUGUAGGCACAAGGAAUCCACACAGAACAUUCCUCCCCACCCUCACCCGACUGGUGACUGCUCUCCAUCCUCAGAGUUCAGCUCAAAUGCUGCAUCCCAACAGAGGCUUUCCUUAAGCCCCCAAGCUGAGACGUGCCUUCUCCUUAGACCCUCACAUAGCGUCUGGCAGCUUCCGAUCGUCACCCUCAUCAAGGCUUAAAUUACACUUGUAUGUACGUGAUUGUCUGCUCCUCACCUUUGCCCAGGCGUAAGCCCCGUGGCGGCAGAGAUGCAUCUGUGUUCCUCCUCUGAAGCACUAAUACCAAACGCGAUCCCUGACACCCAGGAGGUGCUCACUAAGUUCUUGUAGAGGACAGAAGGAAAGAAGAAAGGAAUGUGCUGGAGACUGCUAACCUGCAUCCUAAGUCUGGGAUUGCCUUGGGACGUGGGCGGGGUCAGGAGCCCAGCCACUAAGAGCGAGAGAAGAGCUGGUUAUGAGGAGGCUGCCGCCAGGGCUGCUCUACCCUCCCUGCAAAUCGCCUUGGUGGCCACCUUAGAGAGGGCCUGAGCUGGAAUCUCCCUGAUGGGACCUCCUUCAGCAUCUGUCCUACUUUUAUAUGGGGCAAAAUCAGAGAGUAGUUAGGAUCUGAAAAAACAUUAAUAACUUGCAUUGAACUAAAAUUCUGACCACAUUUAUGUGAGCAUUACCUGUCCAGUACAGUGACUACAGAGUACUUGGUUUAGGUAAUCCUUGCAUGUCUCACAAAGUGACUGCAGGGUACUUGUUUUAGGUAAAGCUUGACCUGUCCCACAAGGUGACUGCAGGGUACUUGGUUUAGGUAAGCCUCACCCAUCCCACAAGGUGACUGCGGGGUACUUGGUUUAGGUAAGCCUCACCCAUCCCACAAGGUGACUGCGGGGUACUUGUUUUAGGUAAGCCACACAUGUCCCACAAGGUGACUGCGGGGUACUUGUUUUAGGUAAGCCUCGCGUGUCCCACAAGGUGACUGCAGGGUACUUGUUUUAGGUAAGCCUCGCAUGUCCCACAAGGUGACUGCAGAGUACUUGGUCAGUCAGUGUUGUGCUGUGUUUUCCCUCGCAGCUGUUCAGUACUAAUGUUUCUGUGUGGCCCCACCAGACUCCUUUUCCAGGUGUCACCACUGCCCAGACUCUCUCCCUGCAGCGUCACCUUCCCUUCCCCCUGUUCCCUGUGGGGACUGCAGUGAGGGAACCUCAUCUAGUUCCACUUCCAGUUCCUGGGGUUGCUUCCUGCCUCAGACCUCCUCCUCUGUGAGGUUGGCACCUGGUGGUUCUUAGAGAGACACUGACUCCCAUACGAAGCAUAACACGCCUCUGGGCUGCCAUGUCUGCACCAUGUCAAUCCUGCUUCUGUGCUCAAAGGGCUCCAAAAGCACGUUAAUUACAGUCCACAAGCUGAUAUCCUGGGUUUAGCGCAGACAGAGAAGGAUGUCCGUGCACACGGCCUCGCCUGCGCCUGAGCGCUCUCUCCUGCUCAGGUGAGAGGACCACUUGAAAAGGCACUACCCGUCGCUUCCCUGCCAGGGUGGCUCAGCAGCACCACAUUGCAGACACUCAGAAAGCUCCUGCCACUGGCACCAAGACAACGUUUCUGGGAAACAGAGAGCAAGAGGCUGCAAUAAUGCUGGUAGCACCCAGGGCCCAUCACUUAUCUACUGAUUGCGAAACAAACCAGGGCUUCAAAGAGAAGAGCGUGUGCUGAAAAGUCUAUUUGAUCCGCCCUUUAAAGUGAAAAUGAAGCCUCUUCAUGAGGAGCAGACCGACCCCAUAAGCUUAUAGCUCCAGUUUCUUCCACCCACCAAUACAGCGUGCAGGUAGCUCACCAGGAACUAAGACACCAUCUUCAAACCGAGCUCCCAUUCUGGAAGCAUCGGCUUCAGCAGACAAAAGGGAAUGCAGACCCACCAGCUAAAAAGAGUAAUGUUUUUCCUGGCCUAGAGGCUUGAGUACUUUCAUCAGAAAGAACUGGGUGGGAGAACUCUCGGGUACGACUUGGGUGGGCCCCUGCCCAGUUCUGGAGGGGAAGCUGCCAGGAGAACAUAGACUAAGUAAACAUGUCCCCACUCCACCACAGUUUGUGGUCUGGCGCUUGCUCCAUGUGGCCCCGAGAGGUGGGAGCUACAAACACAAUGGGACAGAAGCUACAAAAGGACAGAUUUGGGUUCAACAUGAGCAGGAAAUAAGAGAGCAGCCUCAAGACAGUGUUGGCACCCUCUGCAGCCACGAGCUCUCAGUCAGUGCAUGUCCCAUCACCCAUAUGUGAGUGAGGAACCUCAGGCUGGAUGGGGUGAGACACCUGGCAUCCUCCUCCAAAGGAAUUACAUCUGUAGGCAGCGUCUCAAUGGGAAUCACAAUCAGAAAGCCCAGAACAUCGUCCAAAGGAGAAGAAAAGGAAAACAAAUACAUCCAAAAGAAACAGACAUGCAGGAGAGAAUCCUUAUCCAAAGACAAAGGAAGAGAAGCAAAAGCCAAGAUUUAAAGUGAAGGAUGAGAAGCAAAGCCUUGCAGGAGCUCCUGAGGUGAGCAGCAGACUGAGACAGCCUUCUGGUCUCGGGUUUGAAGCACCAACGUUGGGCCGUGACUUGAUCGAUCUAAAGUGGACAGCUUCUUGUUUGGGUGUCAUAGAAGGCAGCCAAGCUUUGGGUGAGUGGUGGGACUUCAUCAGUGUUCCGAUGGAACUGCUACAUCUCCAAAUUACAUGUCGUCCUUCGUGAGUGCAGGCCCAUGUUUUUCUGGAGAGUUGACAGCUUUUG
ensembl:lncRNA